UACCUCUUAUCACAUUAUAGUUACAGGAUAUUUUAUUAUAUUAUAUACACAUUAUAUAUACAUUAUUUUCCUCGAUAAUUUUCGAGAACAGUGCCUCCUGUCUCUUCUAUGACUUAUAAGUUUUUGGGUUUGGCGAGAGAAUAAAUACUCUAAUUUCCAAAGAAUUUCAGUAUAUUUCUUUUGUUUGUCAGCUGUUGUGUUAUAGUUAUACUUAAGCAUAAAUUUGUUUUACAAUUAUAAUUCACAAUAAGUGUUAAAUAUAUUUCGAAAACAACCAAUAGUUGAAAAAAAGUUUAUUUACUGUCUUGGUUUCAAUAUACUCAAAAAUAUUUGGCAAAAGGGUUCGAUGAAGAUCUGAAGCUUAUUUCUGAUGGACAAAAAUCUAAAUCUUCGAGUUACAGUAUAAAGUUUAUGAGCGCGUCUUUGAUAUGGCGGUGGAACGUACACGGGUAUAUAAUAAUAAUAGCCAGCCGGCUAUUAUUAGAUACCAAAAAAAAAUUUAACUCGUCAACAAAAUCUAUAUUUGUUAAAUAAUGAAAGAAAUUUUAAUGACUAAUGGUACACAGUCAAAAAGAAAAAAUAAAAUUUAAUGAAGCUUAUUUUUAAAACGCGGUAAGUUUAAUAUUUGAAGUAUGAUAUAAAGUCUACGUAACGAAUAUUAUAUACUUUAAAAACAAUAGUGAAAAUAGUGAUUUUUAGAAAAUAUAGUUCACGUUGUUGAGAAUUUAACAAAAUUACAGUUAUAUUUGAACAUGCCAAUCUAUACUUAUUAAAUAAUGAAUGAGUUUCUGAUGAAUUAAUCGAACGAUGGGUGGAAAACAAUAAAAACUUUCGAAUGGAAUUCGAAACCAAGAUUCCUAUAACAAACGAUACAUCAACAUAUUGACUUAUAUUACAUGAUAAUAUUUUCGAGUAAAACGCAAUGUCUAGAGCAGUGCACAAGAUGGUUUAAUCUAUGAAACUUAAAAUCAACACUUUUACAAUAAUAAUUAUUAUUGUUAAAGUAAAAAUUAUAAUUUUUAUUUUAUUAUUUGUAAACAUUUACAAUUGUAUAACAUUAUAUUAUUUUUACAUUUAUUUAAAUAAUAAUAAGUUUUUGUUUUUAUUAGCUUUUAUUAUGAAAAUAUCAUAGCUCGACAAUUACAUACGAAUUAGAUAACAUAGUAUUAAUUAGCGUUAUGAAUUGGUGUUAAUUUGUAUAACAAAAGUAAAGUAUGUACAAUAAAUCAUAAUAUAUAAUAAAGUAGUUAAAUAGUACAACCAGUGCUCAAUAUAAAAGAAAUGAUGGCAAUAAUAACGGGAAUAAAAUGGGAAUUUAGUACAACAGAGGGUACAAAAUUGUAAUUUCUAUUGGAUUUUAAAAAUGUUAAAAGUAGGCACCUAUUAGACGCCAAGGAGGAGCAAUUUAAUAAAUAGCGAGGAAAAUCUCCGAGGAUUUCAUUCUUAUAUGAAUGGCAAAAGGGAACCGAGUUCAGAUUUAAUUUGUAGGCGAAUGUUGGUAAAAGGUUAUGACCCAGUCUGAGUCGUGAAAUGCUAUAAAAUAUAUUGUGAGUGAGAUCUAGUUAAUGGAACUACGGAAUUUUGGAACGGGUAGGUACGAUGUGCCUAUGCCAUCGGUCAAAGAUGUUAGGGAGAAAAGACCACUUGGUGAGCUAUGCUUCCAUUAGCUUAGAUCUAAAAUAAUUAAGAAAAUCAAAAUAAGGAAGAAGAAAGGAAGGAUAACAUAAGAAUGAUGAUUCACAUUUAGCCAAUGAAUCAGCGAACUCGUUACCACGGAUCCCGACAUAUCUAGGGAUUCAAUGGAAUUGAACUUAACCAGACGUUAAAAUUUUGUGGAGGAGUGCUCUAAUUGAAAGGAUCAUAGGAAAAGUUUGAGAAUCAAAAGGGUUAUAAUUAAUAGCCAGAUGACAAGCCUGCGAAUCUGAGAAGAUGAGAAAAGAAGUAUCUAAAGAAACAAAAACCUAGAGAAGUUCAUUGACAAUAGCAAUGCAUUCGGGACUAAAGGAGGAAGAAAAAGAAUGCAGGUUGGUAGAAAAGGAGAUAUUAAGGAAUAAUGAGGGAGACCCAUCAGUAAAAAAUAGACGACAGUUGGGAAAGUUUGAAGAAAUAUAGUGAGAGAAUAAAUUAUUAAUAAUGGUCAAAAGAAGGGAUUGGAGGUUAGAAUGUGAGAACCCUAGGAAAUUAGUUAGUACAUGAAGAUUAGGAGUGAUGAUUAUGGCUUUGUAAGGGCAGUCACAAAUAGGAAGACGACUAUAGGACUUCUGUGUAUGAUUAGUGAGAGGAAAAAAUGAAGAACAUAUAGAAACAAGGAUAAGGAAGAGAUUUGGGGACAUAACGCCAGAGUUGGCGAACAGUUUUAUAAAGAUUGAAUAAUGAGAAUUUGGGGCAGGAAAUAGAUUUUAGGAGUAAUUUGCACGCUUAUCGAAGUCUUCUAAUUUCGAUAGGAGGACAACAGCAUUCAAUUUCAAGGCUGGGAACAGAAAUAGAAGGAGGAGCGCCUAAAUUGAGCGAAAGCAAGAAGCCAUUACUGAAUUAAGCUUAUUACGGUGACAUAAGGAUGCAGAAGAGAAGAGAAAGGAAACGUAGUCAAUCUUGGCACGAAUAAUAGAGUUAAAAAUUAAUAAAAGGGAAGAGGAAUGAAAUUCCCAAGAUGUCCCGAUAAUACAACGGAGAAAAUUAGACCAGUGUGAUGCAAAGGAAAAAAGGAACCUUUCUUAACUUAGUGUCGUUAAGUCCUAAGUCUACUUAAGUUAAGUCCUAAGUAAGUAACAGAUUGGAGGGGAUAUUAAAUGAUCAACUAAAGUACAAUGGCGAUAGAGAGAGGUAUAUGUUUUCUAGUAAAAAUGAUAAAUUGACUCUUUUAAGAAGCUUUGGUAAAGUAAGAAGAGAGGAGAUUUUGGUACAGUAUGUACAAGGUGUCGUUGAGAUUAGCUACAGCGUGAUUAAGUGAUUUAUCAGAAGAAAAAUGGACAAUAUCAUCAGCAUAAAAGAGGAAGGAGAAACCGUGAGAGAAGAGGUCAUUACUGAUAGUACACACAUAUAUAUAUAUUGAAAAGAAUGGGAUUAAGAUAACUGCCUUGUGGAAAGCCACGAAAAGAAGAACGAGAAAUAGAAACCCCGGAAGGGAUGGAGAAGUGUAGGAAGCGAUGAGAAAAAAGUGAGGAAAUAAAAUUACAAAGAAGAGGGGGUUCAAUGACGUUUAAGUGUUUUUAUUAAGUAGGUAUAUGGACUGAGUCAAAUGUGCCCUUGAUAUCCAUAAAUAUUGCUGGAAGUAAUUAUUUUUUGUCAAAGGACUCAUAUAUGGGUCCUAUAAAGGAAAAUAGACACUCCAUAGUACCAAAGCCUCUUUUAAAACCGAAUAAGUUAUUCGGGAUGAGAGUAUUUUUUUCCAGAUACCAAUCUAAACGAAUUUUUAAUAAGUAUUCUACUAUUUUACAGAGAGACGAGGAGAGGGCAAUAGGUCGAUGGAAUAGGAUCUGUACUGAUGGAAAGAAACAGAGCGUUCUUUAACAGCGGUUGUACAUGUAGAGUUCCACCAAAUAGGGGAAAGAGGCAAAUUUUUUUUGGAAGUUUUGAAAAUUGGUACAGAGGCAUUCACGGCAUUCAGUAGAAUAGAAACAAAGAAAUCAUAAUCUGAUAAGGGAGAAGAAGAAAGACAAAAGUUGAACAAAUAAGCAUUGAUGUAUGCAAAAUAUAAGCCUCAGUCAGCAUUGAUAAAGUUGAAUUUAAAUGAUGAAAUGACGGGAGAAGGGUCAAUUAAGUGAUUAGAUAGGGAUGUUACCUAGGAGAUAAUAAUAGGAAAGUGGUUGCUACUGUAAGUACAGUCAAUGACGGCCUUAGAUAAAAACCAGGAUAUAGAAGGAGACGUGAUCGAUAUUCAACGGCUGUGUCUUUAAAUAAGCGAUUUGUGUCCUGUUAUUACUGUUAAUUUCUUUUGGAAAAGAUAAGGUCGAAAUUAUUUUACUGCCCAUACUAUGGCUAAGAGUUAUUUCUCUG